rnacentral:rRNA from 1 species
UACGGGAGGCAGCAGUUGGGGGAUUAUUGCACAAUGGAGGAAACUCUGAUGCAGCGACGCCGCGUGAGUGAAGAAGUAUUUCGGUAUGUAAAGCUCUAUCAGCAGGGAAGAAAGACUCGUAAGAGAGAUGACGGUACCUGACUAAGAAGCCCCGGCUAACUACGUGCCAGCAGCCGCGGUAAU